AAGCUACUCCCUCCGUUCGGAAAUACUCGUCGAAGAAAUGGAUGUAUCUAGACGUAUUUUAGUUCUAGAUACAUCCAUUUCUCCGACAAGUAUUUCCGAACGGAGGGAGUACUUA
rnacentral:pre_miRNA from 1 species